rnacentral:tRNA from 1 species
GCCUGGAUAGCUCAGUGGGUUAAGCAUCUGCCUUCAGCGCAGGUCAUGAACUCAGUGUCGUGGGCUCGAGCCCCGCCUCGGUCU